rnacentral:rRNA from 1 species
AGUCGAACGGCAGCACGGGAGCAAUCCUGGUGGCGAGUGGCGAACGGGUGUUUAAUAUAUCGGAACGUGCCCAGUCGUGGGGGAUAACGCAGCGAAAGCUGUGCUAAUACCGCAUACGAUCUCUGGAUGAAAGCGGGGGACUCGUAAGAGCCUCGCGCGAUUGGAGCGGCCGAUAUCAGAUUAGCUAGUUGGUGGGGUAAAGGCCCACCAAGGCGACGAUCUGUAGCUGGUCUGAGAGGACGACCAGCCACACUGGAACUGAGACACGGUCCAGACUCCUACGGGAGGCAGCAGUGGGGAAUUUUGGACAAUGGGCGCAAGCCUGAUCCAGCAAUGCCGCGUGCAGGAUGAAGGCCUUCGGGUUGUAAACUGCUUUUGUACGGAACGAAAAGGUCUGCCUUAAUACGGUGGGCCCAUGACGGUACCGUAAGAAUAAGCACCGGCUAACUACGUGCCAGCAGCCGCGGUAAUACGUAGGGUGCGAGCGUUAAUCGGAAUUA